GUGGGAUAGCUCAGUUGGUAGAGCAGAGGACUGA
rnacentral:tRNA from 1 species